rnacentral:snRNA from 1 species
GUCGCUUCUCGGCUCUCUGAGCUAAGAUCAUGUGUAGUAUCUGUUCUUUGCAGUGUAAUUUCUGCAACGGUCUCUAAACUGAGACCAAUGAAAUUACCUGUAUUUUUCUUGUGAGGACGGGUGCUGUGAGCUUGCUCAACCCCGUCCACGGGUCGGCCUCGUAUUGCAUUACAAAUACGUAUCACAAUAAAUGACUU